AGAGUUUGAUCCUGGCUCAGGACGAACGCUGGCGGCGCGCCUAACACAUGCAAGUCGAACGAGCGAGAGAGAGCUUGCUUUCUCGAGCGAGUGGCGAACGGGUGAGUAACGCGUGAGGAACCUGCCUCAAAGAGGGGGACAACAGUUGGAAACGACUGCUAAUACCGCAUAAGCCCACGACCCGGCAUCGGGUAGAGGGAAAAGGAGCAAUCCGCUUUGAGAUGGCCUCGCGUCCGAUUAGCUAGUUGGUGAGGUAAUGGCCCACCAAGGCGACGAUCGGUAGCCGGACUGAGAGGUUGAACGGCCACAUUGGGACUGAGACACGGCCCAGACUCCUACGGGAGGCAGCAGUGGGGAAUAUUGCACAAUGGGGGAAACCCUGAUGCAGCGACGCCGCGUGGAGGAAGAAGGUCUUCGGAUUGUAAACUCCUGUUGUUGAGGAAGAUAAUGACGGUACUCAACAAGGAAGUGACGGCUAACUACGUGCCAGCAGCCGCGGUAAAACGUAGGUCACAAGCGUUGUCCGGAAUUACUGGGUGUAAAGGGAGCGCAGGCGGGAAGACAAGUUGGAAGUGAAAUCCAUGGGCUCAACCCAUGAACUGCUUUCAAAACUGUUUUUCUUGAGUAGUGCAGAGGUAGGCGGAAUUCCCGGUGUAGCGGUGGAAUGCGUAGAUAUCGGGAGGAACACCAGUGGCGAAGGCGGCCUACUGGGCACCAACUGACGCUGAGGCUCGAAAGUGUGGGUAGCAAACAGAAUUAGAUACCCUGGUAGUCCACACUGUAAACG
rnacentral:rRNA from 1 species